rnacentral:rRNA from 1 species
AUACGGAGGAUGCAAGCGUUAUCCGGAUUCAUUGGGAUUAAAGGGUGCGCAGGCGGAUUGGUAAGUCAGGGGUGAAAUCCCACAGCUCAACUGUGGAACUGCCUUUGAUACUGUCAGUCUAGAGUAUAGUUGAAGUUGGCGGAAUGUGUCAUGUAGCGGUGAAAUGCUUAGAUAUGACACAGAACACCGAUCGCGAAGGCAGCUAGCUAAGCUAUAACUGACGCUCAUGCACGAAAGCGUGGGGAUCAAACAGGAUUAGAUACCCUGGUAGUCCACGCUGUAAACGAUGAUUACUCGAUGUUGGCGAUACACAGUCAGCGUCUGAGCGAAAGCAAUAAGUAAUCCACCUGGGGAGUACGAUCGCAAGAUUGAA